rnacentral:sRNA from 1 species
AAUAAGCCCGCGUUAGCGAUGGAAAUGGCAUCCUUUUUUUGCUGCCACAAAUGGCAAAAAAAGAUAUAAUGUACAGCGCGACCCUUG